UACAGAGGGGGCAAGCGUUGUUCGGAAUUACUGGGCGUAAAGGGCGCGUAGGCGGCCUGUUAAGUCGAACGUGAAAUCCCCAGGCUCAACCUGGGAACUGCGUCCGAUACUGGGUGGCUUGAAUCCGGGAGAGGGAUGCGGAAUUCCAGGUGUAGCGGUGAAAUGCGUAGAUAUCUGGAGGAACACCGGUGGCGAAGGCGGCAUCCUGGACCGGCAUUGACGCUGAGGCGCGAAAGCCAGGGGAGCAAACGGG
rnacentral:rRNA from 1 species